AUCGAAUAGAGGUCAAAACAUGUAAAAAUUGGAAUGAUACAGAGGUGAUUAGCAUGGCCGCUAUAGAAGGAUGAGACACACCAAUUGAAAAAUGGUCCAAACUUUU